GAGGCGAGAACGACGGCCGUUAUAUGUAUAUAUAUAUAUAGAGUAAUAGAUUAGAUUAGAUUUGUUACCUUUCUAUAGAUCCGUCUCUACCUUCGGUGCUUCCGAUCCCAAUCUUGAGAGAACGAUGGCGAGGUCUACCGCUCAGACGGCCGCUCCGCCCACCGGAUCCCUAACCGUAACCCUGGAAGAGGCGCCCUCCACUUCCUCUUCGCAGCAACGGCAGCAACCGGCCGAAACCCUGGUUCUCCAACUCCGUCGGCGCAAGAAGAAGGUAACGUGGAAGGAGGGGACGGUGGACAACGAGUUCCUCAACCGGAAGAGCUCCAAGAAGUGCUGCAUCUUCCACAAGCAGAAGCCCUUCGACGAGGACGACAGCGACGACGACGACGGCUGCGGUGGCGGCGGGGGCGGAGGUCCCGCGGGGGAGGACGGGGCCGGCCCCAGUGGCUGCUGCUCCCAUGGAGGGGGGCACUGAUGGUGGUGAUCCGUUGCUCUGCGAUCUGGAAGGCAUGGUGCCUAAUCUUUGUUCUCAUCUCCCUCGUACUCCUAUUGAUGCUCCAAAGUCCCAACAGGACAUCCAAGGAACAGCCUACAUAAUGGUCCCACUGCAUUUGAAGAUAAUAAGGGCUAAUAUGAAUUUUGUAAGCCAUUUAAAAGGAGAUCUGUUUACUCUUUUGCAAGUAUUAUUAUCAUUUUAAAAUAUUAUAAUGAGGGAAGUUACGGCCAUUCCAUCCACUCAUGAUGUUUGUUUUACCCUCUUCUUUCUAUUUCAAUUACAAAUAUGAAGCUGAGACUUUCCAGUGUACCUAAUAUGAACUCUUGGGAGCAGGCAACUGGCCCUUGUUAAUGCAAAGCUUAGUAUUCAUGUUU